rnacentral:rRNA from 1 species
NUUGACCUCAACUCAGUCGUGAUUACCCGCUGAAUUUAAGCAUAUAACUAAGCGGAGGAAAAGAAACUAACGAGGAUUUCCUUAGUAACGGCGAGUGAAAAGGAAAAAGCCCAACGCUGAAUCCAA